rnacentral:rRNA from 1 species
AUUGAACGCUGGCGGCAGGCUUAACACAUGCAAGUCGAGCGGGGGAAGGUAGCUUGCUACCGGACCUAGCGGCGGACGGGUGAGUAACGCUUAGGAAUCUGCCUAUUAGUGGGGGACAACAUCUCGAAAGGGAUGCUAAUACCGCAUACGUCCUACGGGAGAAAGCAGGGGAUCUUCGGACCUUGCGCUAAUAGAUGAGCCUAAGUCGGAUCAGCUAGUUGGUGGGGUAAAGGCCUACCAAGGCGACGAUCUGUAGCGGGUCUGAGAGGAUGAUCCGCCACAAUGGGAAUGAGACACAGCCCAGACUCCUACGGGAGGCAGGAGUGGGGAAUAUUGGACAAAGGGGGGAACCCUGAUCCAGCCAUGCCGCGUGUGUGAAGAAGGCCUUAUGGUUGUAAAGCACUUUAAGCGAGGAGGAGGCUACUUUAGUUAAUACCUAGAGAUAGUGGACGUUACUCGCAGAAUAAGCACCGGCUAACUCUGUGCCAGCCGCCGCCGUAA